AUGUCAUCGAAGGUCCUUCAGCUAUGGAGUGUAGACACAAACCGGCAGCAGAUUCGCAAUUCUCACAUUGUGACAGAACCUCUCCAGUAAAUGGACUACUCCCUAGAAUGAAAUAGCAGAAAGACAGGCGCGGUAUAUAAAGAGAUUACAGCCUCCGACUAAACACAGGAACCAUCUCCAGCGAGAAGACGACAUGCAGGCCCAUCACAGAGGAACAUCUACUGAGCGUCUCCACUCACAGGGGAACCUGAGCACUCAGCAGCAGCCACAUCGCGGGUCAUUUACAUCUGGAGGAGACCAGGGAAUGAGCAGAAGAUCUGAAGAUGGUGGAAAGUGGUAUAAAGAACCACAAGGCGGACAUUCUGCUUAUCUAAACCGCGAUCUCCCAGCGUCUCCCGGUCAGCGGGUCUGCGCAGCGACGACAGAGACACCAAUGUACCUGUAUUAUAAAUCAGUGGUAAUGAGCGAUCAGCAGCAGGACAAGAAAACGGAUGUCAUGAUCCAAGGUGGAGGGGGUGUAAUAAAUGAUAUAUUGUGUAAGCUUAACCCAAACUGCAAGCCUUAGGUAUAGAGGCUGCCCGCUAUAUACCUGUCUG